rfam:Cavia porcellus supercont2_0 genomic scaffold, whole genome shotgun sequence.
GUGGAUUUAGCUCAGCGGCAUAAGCGCCUGCUUUGCAAGCAGGCAGUCGUGAGUUCAAUCCCUGAUAUCCAUA